rnacentral:rRNA from 1 species
CAGGCCUAACACAUGCAAGUCGAACGCAAACCUUCGGGUUUGAGUGGCGCACGNGGUGAGUAACACGUGGGAAUCUGCCUGAUAGAGGGGGACAACUGUUGGAAACGACAGCUAAUACCGCAUACGCCGAGUGUUAAAGCUCGGGAAAGAUUUAUCGCUAUCAGAAGAGCCCGCGUCAGAUUAGGUAGUUGGUGAGGUAAGAGCUCACCAAGCCGAUGAUCUGUAGCUGGUCUGAGAGGAUGACCAGCCACACUGGGACUGAGACACGGCCCAGACUCCUACGGGAGGCAGCAGUGGGGAAUCUUGGACAAUGGGGGCAACCCUGAUCCAGCGAUGCCGCGUGAAUGAAGAAGGCCCUUGGGUUGUAAAGUUCUUUCACCUGUGACGAUAAUGACGGUAACAGGAGAAGAAGCCCCGGCUAACUCCGUGCCAGCAGCCGCGGUAAU